CAGACGGACGGACGGUUGCAUUUACAGAUUCCGUGACCUGGAAAUACUAGUUUAUAAAGAAAACCCCAUGGAGAACAAAAGUUCUCAGCCGAUGACAUGUGCACAAAAGAAAGGGAAACUAUCAAGACCUGAAGUUCUGACCUGCAAACCUUCGACAACGGGUCGAUUUGUGUUGUUGCGUUACAUUCCACCAAGAGAGGAAAUUUUCACAGUCUGCGAAGUUGAGGUCCGUGGAAAGCUCGCCAAAGGUUAACUACCAAGCUGUGGCGACAUUCAAAAAAGUGUCACAUAAUCUGAUGUAAUAAAAAGUCUAUUGAG